AAUGAACGCUGGCGGCGUGCUUUACACAUGCAAGUCGAGCGAGGCCGGGUAGCAAUACCCGAGUCGAGCGGCGCACGGGUGAGUAACGCGUGGAUGACCUGCCUGAGGGUGGGGGAUAACCCGGGGAAACUCGGGCUAAUACCGCAUAAAACCGAGAGGUCAAAGGGGGCCGCAAGGCUCUCGCUCGCAGAGGGGUCCGCGUCCGAUUAGCUAGUUGGCAGGGUAAUGGCCUACCAAGGCGACGAUCGGUAGCCGGCCUGAGAGGGUGAUCGGCCACACUGGAACUGAGACACGGUCCAGACUCCUACGGGAGGCAGCAGUGGGGAAUUUUGCGCAAUGGGCGAAAGCCUGACGCAGCAACGCCGCGUGGAGGAUGAAGGUCUUCGGAUUGUAAACUCCUGUCAGUGGGGAAAAAGGGGAACGUGCUCAUACCACGUUUCAUUGAUUGUACCCGCAGAGGAAGCCCCGGCUAACUCUGUGCCAGCAGCCGCGGUAACAC
rnacentral:rRNA from 1 species